rnacentral:lncRNA from 1 species
UUAAAACCAGGGUACUGUUCAGAAAAUGACAAAUGAUCAUCAAGUCUUGUCAACACCAAAUAGCAGUCUUUGCUGAAUUUGGAGGUAAUCUGCAAUCCCAGCGUGUAACAGUAAAGGAGAAAUAAGUUGGUGUUAUCCAUUUGCUUGAAAUGAGCAGAAAAACUGCAUUGGUAAUGCACUACUUGUAAAAACCCAACCAUUAAUUUCAAUAAGAGAUGUUUCCAUCUUUUGUCUUUGUAACUGAGAUAGUUGGCUUUCUUUGGCUAAUUUUAUCAUUGCACAGGUAAGCUGGGUUGGAUCUCUGGAGUUUGGCACAGUCACACAGAGCAGGGAGCCCAGGAGCACAUCCCAUUGGGUUUUGAAGCUCCCUGGUGGUGUGUCCACGACCUCUCUAUGUGACCUAUUCCAGUGUUCAGCUAUCCUUGCAUAAACAAGUGUUCUCUUAUGUUUGGCCAGUUUCUCUUGUAUUUUAAUGUGCCUCUCGUCCUAACACUGGAUACCCCUGAGAAGAGUGGCACAUGUUUACUUACUGCCCUCUGUCAGUAGGUGGGAUUCCUGAAGGCCAGUUGUAGGAGGCACUGAGUAGCUUGGACUUUUCUGUGUCUCAUGUCACCAGGUCCCCUCUUCUUUUCAGAACAGCCCCGUGUUUUCCCCAGAUCUCUUUUUGCUGUUGAUGGACCUGUUGAAGCUCAUUGUCUUGUAUUUCACAUCCCUCCACAGAUUCAACUCCAGAUGGGCCUCUGUUUAAAUGUAACAGAUCUGGAACCAAAGAGUUGAUCUCAACAAGCUAUUUCUACCCCAUUUUGUACAACUAGAGCAACGUGAAGAGACCAAAGUUUUGCUACGAGUUGAGUUGAAGGCAUGGACUACUGAUUUUACCUCUUCUUUUGGUGUCUAAAUAGCUGGCUUUCCAUGUCAGAAGAAACAUCUGGUUAUUAAAGCCUGAGAAGGUAUGCUCUAGGUGUUUUUUUCAUGUUUUUAAUUCUGUCGUGAUUAAACAGUAUUUUCAUUGUAACGUUGUUAUUUAAUUUUUAGAUUGAAGCUAAAU